GACGAACGCUGGCGGCGUGCUUAACACAUGCAAGUCGAACGAGGCCCUCCCUUCGGGGAGGUGUCCUAGUGGCGAACGGGUGAGUAACACGUGGGCAGCCUGCCCCCGGCUCUGGGAUAACUCCAAGAAAUUGAGGCUAAUACCGGAUAUGACCGCUGACCGCAUGGUCGGGUGGUGGAAAGUUUUUCGGCUGGGGAUGGGCCCGCGGCCUAUCAGCUUGUUGGUGGGGUAGUGGCCUACCAAGGCGACGACGGGUAGCCGGCCUGAGAGGGUGACCGGCCACACUGGGACUGAGACACGGCCCAGACUCCUACGGGAGGCAGCAGUGGGGAAUAUUGCGCAAUGGGCGGAAGCCUGACGCAGCGACGCCGCGUGGGGGAUGACGGCCUUCGGGUUGUAAACCUCUUUCAGGAGGGACGAAGCCACUCGGGUUAAUAGCCCAGAGGGUGACGGUACCUCCAGAAGAAGCCCCGGCUAACUAC
rnacentral:rRNA from 1 species